rnacentral:piRNA from 1 species
AAAGCUAACACACCAUCAGCUCCCUCCAUAG